UGGGGAAUAUUGGACAAUGGGGGAAACCCUGAUCCAGCAAUGCCGCGUGUGUGAAGAAGGCCUGCGGGUUGUAAAGCACUUUCAGUAGGGAAGAUAAUGACGGUACCUACAAAAGAAGCACCGGCUAACUCCGUGCCAGCAGCCGCGGUAAUACGGAGGGUGCGAGCGUUAAUCGGAAUUACUGGGCGUAAAGCGCACGUAGGUGGUUUGGUAAGUCGGAUGUGAAAUCCCAGGGCUCAACCUUGGAAUUGCAUUCGAUACUGCCUCACUAGAGUCUAGCAGAGGGAUGGGGAAUUCCGGGUGUAGCGGUGAAAUGCGUAGAGAUCCGGAGGAACAUCAGUGGCGAAGGC
rnacentral:rRNA from 1 species